AGAGAGAGACAUGCGCGCAUAUCAAUAAGCGGAGGAAAAGAAACUAACAAGGAUUCCCCUAGUAACGGCGAGUGAAGCGGGAAGAGCUCAAAUUUGAAAUCUUCAAGGGUUCUACCUUUACGAAUUGUAGUUUAAAGAAGUGUUUUCUGUUGAGGUUUUGGUAAAAGUUCUUUGGAAUAGGACAUCAUAGAGGGUGAGAAUCCCGUAUUUGACCUUUACUUUCAACUUUGUGAUACACUUUCAAAGAGUCGGAUUGUUUGGGAAUGCAGUCCAAAAUGGGUGGUAAAUUUCAUCUAAAGCUAAAUAUUGGCGAGAGACCGAUAGCGAACAAGUACCGUGAGGGAAAGAUGAAAAGAACUUUGAAAAGAGAGUUAAACAGUACGUGAAAUUGUCAAAAGGGAAGCGUUUGACACCAGUGUUGUUUUUCUGAAAAUCAAUUAAAGAACUGUUUAUGCUAAGUUGUUUAGACUUUAUCAGCUAUCUGUUUAGUUUUGAGCUUUUCUUUAAUGCACUUUUCAGUUAACAAGUCAACAUCAAUUUCUUUUGCUGUAAAAAAGCUUGAGGAAGGUGGCUUGAGAUUCGUCUUAAGUGUUUAUAGCCUCUUGCCUAUGCAGUCGGAGAGAUUGAGGUCUGCAGCGUAGAUCCUUCGGGGCUAAAUGCAUUUGUGCUAAGUUAUAGCUUUUUAUAGACAACUUGUUGACUAUGAUUUAGUCUUGUAGCUUACUCGCUUAUGUUAUUUUACCUACGCUUAGGAUGUUGAUGUGAUACUGCGAGC
rnacentral:rRNA from 1 species